GUCUACGGCCAUACCACCCUGAACGCGCCCGAUCUUGUCUGAUCUCAGAAGCUAAGCAGGGUCGGGCCUUGUUAGUACUUGGAUGGGAGGCCCUCCUUUUCAACCGCCUCUACAGCUAGACA
rnacentral:rRNA from 1 species